rnacentral:lncRNA from 1 species
GAAGGAGAGGAUGAGGACGGAGGGAAGGUCUGCCUGGGAGGAGAGGAAAUGGAGAGUCCCAGGCCACACAGUAAGUAAAGAUGGGACAGAGAUUCGGACUUCUGCCUUGUGCUCAGACCUCAACUGUAAGUACAUCCCUCCCUCCUGGUUUAAAAACAUUCCCUUACUCCUUAACAUCAGUGUUCCAAUGGGAUAGUUCAUUCAUCCCUUUGGUAAAUAUUCAUCAGGCACCUACUAUAUUUUAGGCCCUGUGCGGGAGAUUAGUGCUGAACAAGCCAGAACCUGUUCCCUUCCUGAAGCUUUCCAUCU